GUUAAUUGUUACAUGCGACGUUGAAUCGCUUUAUACAUCCAUUCGACAUACACAUGGUAUCAAUGCAGUAAAACUCUUCUUUAGGAUGUCUGAUACAGAAGUUGGAGUUGGGUCCAAUACUGGGCAAGAUUUAUAGAUGACAUCAUCUUCAUAUGGAAAGGCACGGUGGAAGAACUGAAUCUAUUUAUGGAAAAUCUUAAUAGAAAUGAUCAGAACAUCAAACUUACUUUCAAGUACGGACGGACAAAUAUGGAUUUCCUAGAUGUCACAUUUAAGGAAACUCAUUCAGAGUAUCCCUAUUGGUCAAUUCAUACGCAUACGUCGCAUUUGUUCGACUGAUGAGUCGUUUGAGACAAGAGCAAGAUAAUUAAGUCAAAGAUUCCGUGACCGUGGCUAUGAAGAACAUGCUAUCCGGAGAGCCUAUUUCAGAGCCAAAGCUGCCAAUCGGAACAUGCUACUCCAAACUCGACCUAAGAACAACAAAGAUGAUCAGUGGCGAACAGAACUUCAGGAUUACACACAAUAUCACAUGUAACACUGUCGGAGUUAUCUACCACGCAACAUGUCCCUGUGGACUUAUAUAGGUUGGCAUGACCACGAGAGAGUUCCGAAGACGUAUUAGGGAACAUGUUCUUGGCAUUGCAGCUGCCAGUAAUCAAGAGGAUCUAUCCAGCCUUACCGUCAUCCCCAGACAUUUCAAGACACACCAUAACAGUGAUCCCACAGGAUUCAGGUUCAGAGGAAUAGAUAGGAUCUUCAUCAGUCCCAGAGGAGAGUUCCUUGCUGGAUGGGCACCAUUUCCCACUGGACUAUCCAUUGUAUAAUGCACCUUAUAUCUUCUUGCUGCCAAUGUGUUUAUUAAUUAGCAACCGAGCCAUGUAUUAUUUGUGCCUAGGC